GGGGCUGACAAGGUUUCGACAGGGAUAUGCAGGGUACAAAGAGCAGUCGGUUUGUCGCGUUAAAGACUAAACGCCUAUAAAUGGCAACACAAAUCGUUUAGCAUUUGCUGCUUAAUUAAGCCAAGUCCUUUUUGGAAGCAAAUCAUCAAUUAUAGAAUGGAUCUCUCGGUCUAUAAUUGGUGUAAUUUAGAGAGAAUAAGUAUUGAUGAUAUCUAUAAAUCAAUAACGAAAAAAUUAUAGGUUAGUAAGAGUUAGAUUCGUUUAUUAAUCUUACCUCUUAUGAAUUUUAUUAGUAAACUAAACUUGUAGUGCUUUGUAUGUGGCUAUUUCUGGACCUGGGUUCAAAUCCCAGCAGUUCCACCA
rnacentral:tmRNA from 1 species